rnacentral:lncRNA from 10 species
UCUCUAGACAACAACCAUUUAUUUCAUUUUUUACUUAUUUAAUACAGUGUCAGUUUAUGCUAACCACUAAAUGUAUAUUAAAUAAGUGAAAGAGAAAAUGGAAACAGAUGGUUUAGUGGUCACCUAAGUUGGAGUGACAAAGCCAGGAUUCUAUCGACAUUUAUGCUAUGCCACUUACAAAAUGUCUUUCCUUUCCAUUUCUGAACCUCCAAGAUGAUGGAUGACACACUUAUAGUCACAAGGCUAUUUUAAGUGGCAAAGAGGACUCUAGAACACUAGAACACUAGUUUUUUUUCUUGACACUUAGUUGAAGAUCUUCCCAUUGUGUCAUUUGGCCUCUAUCUGUCAGAAGAACAAAUGGGAAACACAUUAAUUGAACUUCUGUCCUCACAAUGCAAGUCUCAAAGAGCAUCUGCCAUGAUGAAUGAAAAUAUGUUUGUAGUUCACAGUGUGCUUCAAUAAUUUUUAAAUAUUUAUUUAUUUAUUUAUUGUAGGAACAGUGUCUCCCUGUUGCCCAGGUUGGUCUCGAACUCCUGGUCUCAAGUGAUCCUCUCACUUCAGCCUUCCAAAAUGCUGGGAUUUUAGGUAUGAGCCACCAUGUCCGGCUGACAAUAAUUUUUAAAAAAGAAUUUAAAGUUAUAAUAAAAAUCAGAGAUCAUAGGUCAAACCCUUAUUUUAUAAAUGAAAAGAGUUAAAGCAAUUAUAUGAACUAAUUCACUCUUAAUUCACCCAUUCAAUCAUUUUAAUUAUUGAAUAAUGAGAUUAAUAUGUUCAGUGGGUAUUUGCUUUAUUUUUGUCUACAUAUAAUCUAAGCCCCUUUUCUACUUGGGAGCAAUUUUGUUGUGUAAAUGUGGUGGGGCAAAA